rnacentral:misc_RNA from 1 species
CUGCUGAGAAGUUCCCAGGCCUCAUCAUUUGUUAGAAGAGGCGGUUCCACUGUAAAGCCCCAUCGAUCGGCAUAAGAAACAACUUCUUUGUUCCGAGUGGUCAAUAAAACUUUGCUCCCUUCCUUGCCCUUUGAAGGAAAAGCAUGUUUUAAACUAUCCCAAGCUUCAUUCUUCCAAAUAUCAUCAAGAACCACCAAGUAUCGCUUCCUCUUUAACACUUCAAAGAGUGUUUCAACUAGUUUUUCUUCUCUCAUCCUUUCCAACAUUGAAUUAAACAUGGGUUCUACUUUCAUUUGUUUCAUCAUCGAUCUAAACAAUUGUUCUUCCGCUAUCCUUUUCUCUUGUUUCAACAUGGAUUUGAACAUCGAUUCAGACAAUUGUUCUUCUUUCAUCCUUUUCUUUUGUUUGGACAUCAAUUUAGACAAUUCUUGUUCUUCCAUUCUAUCCACUUCGUAUUCUACCCUCUCCAACCUCGAUUGAAGAAGCUUCUC